rnacentral:rRNA from 1 species
ACGAACGCUGGCGGCGUGCUUAACACAUGCAAGUCGAACGGAAAGGCCCAGCUUGCUGGGUGCUCGAGUGGCGAACGGGUGAGUAACACGUGGGUGAUCUGCCUCUAACUUCGGGAUAAGCUUGGGAAACUGGGUCUAAUACCGGAUAGGACAAUCGUUUAGUGUCGGUUGUGGAAAGUUUUUUCGGUUAGGGAUGAGCCCGCGGCCUAUCAGCUUGUUGGUGGGGUAAUGGCCUACCAAGGCGUCGACGGGUAGCCGGCCUGAGAGGGUGGACGGCCACAUUGGGACUGAGAUACGGCCCAGACUCCUACGGGAGGCAGCAGUGGGGAAUAUUGCACAAUGGGCGCAAGCCUGAUGCAGCGACGCCGCGUGGGGGAUGACGGCCUUCGGGUUGUAAACCUCUUUCGACAGGGACGAAGCUUUGGUGACGGUACCUGUAUAAGAAGCACCGGCUAACUACGUG